UUUACGGAAGUGACAGCAUGUUUUAAUAUGGCAGCUUCCUUAUCAAUGUUGCCCUUGUUGCCAGUAGCCUGAAUUAAUAUUUUGACAUUAUUUUUACUGAUGAACCCUGCAUCAUGGAACCGCGGUGCUUCGCUGCUGUAUGCUGUUGGCGUUUGGACCAUGCUCGGUUGCGGACUUUACCAAUACACCUACGGAAAGGAUAUUCCAGAAAAAAAGCCAGUCGAAGAGAAAGAUAACAGACAUAAUGUGAAGACAUAUGAAUCGGGAAGCUUGAAAAGCACCAUUGUCUAUAGGGAGAAUUUUGUGCCGCUCUCCACAAGGUUUUUAACUCUCUUUGGUUCUACAAAAGAAAGUGAAAAACAAGAGGAAGAGGACUUAGCUGACAGUUUUUUGUCCGAACGAAAAGAUUAACUGUCAUGUUUGAAAAUUAAAAAGAUAUAUGAAUGCAUUUGGGACAAUUCAAGUCCACUGCUGCUUAAAUGAAGAGAAUCGAGAUCCUGUGCAACCAGAAUACGCUCAAUCAACACCUCUACAGAAAUGAAGACUGUGUUCAUGGUAUCUGUUAAGUUAAUUUGCACCUAAAAUCCCAAGCUUUUAUUUUAAAAAGUGCUGGAAGCAUUUUUAGGGAACAAAAACUUUUCAUGAACUAUAUUACGAAUGAUAAAAUUCUUUCUAAAACA